UUCAGUCGUUGGCAAUUCGUUAGAUAAGAACCAAGGAUCAAACUCGUACAACCAAAGAAGGUGAAUAAUUGGGACAGGGUCGAUAACUGGUACGCUUAUCUGACAGGUCCGAAUGGUUAUAUGAUCAGGUUUUGACCCCCGGUUAGUGAGGCGAGUUAAAAUGUGCAAGGAGUCCAACCGUGCACCUGCAAAGGUUGAUUCUAAAACCGGAAUAGUGUGUACAAGGAUAUAUAUUGGUUUAGAUUGUUAUCGCGGUAGAAAACCAGAAGCGUUGAACAGGUGGAAUGCUUUAUAAUUUGUUUGUUAUACUGUGAGCUAUUGCCGUGUGGUAUAAUAAUCGCGCGUUACACUGCAAAAUGUCAUUCAUCGCCAUUGCAACGUGUGUACUUUCAUAAUUUCGUUGCGUGACGGCGCGGUACGUAGAAUUAGCAGCUGGUAUAAAGUGGUAUAAAUGUGGAAGUGCGACAGCGACACCGGCGAGUUCUUGUAGAGUCAAGCUCGCAUAGCAACGUCGUGAAAGAAGGAAGCCGUCCAGAUGGGGAGGAUGACGUUACGGGACACGAGAAAAAUGUAAACUGACGAGGCGACGACGAGCUGUGUAACCUUUCUUGUUUGUAAACCGUUAAAGUGGUGUUGCCCCCUUAUAAGGAGAGGUCGGAGUAUCGACCGCAGAGUUUACAAACGUGAGUUCGUGAUGGGCUACUUCAAGAAAAGUUGAAAAAACGCACUUGUAGCUGAUUUUCGCUCGAUUCGUAAUCAGCGACCCC
rnacentral:lncRNA from 1 species